CCUAGUAAGCACAAGUCAUUAGCUUGUGCUGAUUACGUCCCUGCCCUUUGUACACACCGCCCGUCGCUACUACCGAUUGAAUGGCUUAGUGAGGCCUUCGGAUCGAGAUUCGGAGACUGGCAACAGACUCUGGGUUUUGAAAAGUUGGUCAAACUUGGUCAUUUAGAGGAAGUAAAAGUCGUAACAAGGUUUCCGUAGGUGAACCUGCGGAAGGAUCAUUACCAAUCUUAGCGGGCCUGGUCUUUGUCGACCAUGGUUUCGCGAAAAUCGUAUUUAAAACCCCACUCUUAUAAAAUGAAUCAUUUUAUUUGUAAUAAUAAAUAAAGAUCACUUUCAACAACGAAUCUCUUGGCUCUCGCAUCGAUGAAGAACGUAGCGAAGUGCGAUAAGUAGUGUGAAUUGCAGAAUUCCGUGAAUCAUCGAAUCUUUGAACGCAAAUUGCACUCCCUGGCAUCCCGGGGAGUAUGCCUGUUUGAGGGUCAGUAAAAUUAAAAUCGGUACGUUGCAUUCUUUUGUAACGUCUCCGGAGUUUGGGUUAUCUUAGCUCUGAGGUUAAGAGGCUUAAAAUUGACAUCAUUUCGCGCGCUUUUAGACGUACAUAAAUUAAUUUUUAUUCGUCUAACUGGUGCCGAAGGUUAUUAGAUGCGACCAUAUUUCGUGAUCUCGUGUCUAUAAUUUUAUCAUGAUUUGACCUCAAAUCAGGUAGGAGUACCCGCUGAACUUAAGCAUAUCAAUAAGCGGAGGAAAAGAAAAUAACAAUGAUUCCCCUAGUAACUGCGAGUGAAGAGGGACAAGCUCAAAUUUUAAAUCUGUUAGGCUUACCUAACCGAGUUGUAAUUUGAAGAGGCGUUUUCUGUGUUUCUGAUCAUUCCAAGUCCUUUGGGAUAGGGCAUUAUGGAGGGUGAGAAUCCCGUUCGGUUGAUCAGAUUCGCUUUACGAUACGUCAUCUAAGAGUCAAGUUGUUUGGGAUUGCAGCUUAAAAUGGGAGGUAAAUUUCUCCUAAGGCUAAAUAUUGGCGAGAGACCGAUAGCGAACAAGUACCGUGAGGGAAAGAUGAAGGGAACUUUGAAAAGAGAGUAAAAUAGUACGUGAAAUUGUUGAAAGGGAAACGGUUGAAGUCAGUCGUACCGACGGAAAAUCAGCUCUUUGAGUGCGGACUUGUGGGUUUACGUGAGCUUUACGGCCUCGUUGUUUGCAAUGUUCGUUCUUUUUGGGUGUACUUUUUCGUAUGGUUGGCCAAUAUCAGUUUCGAUCGCUAUAAAAUGACCGGCGGAAUGUAGCUUCGAUCUCGUAUUGAAGUGUUAUAGCCUCUGGUAGAUGUGGUGAUUGGGACUGAGGAUUGCAACGAAUACCUUUUGGGCUAUCCGUCUGACCUCUGAAAGUUGCUUAGGUGCCGAAAGCGUGCUUACGGUUAUUUAAGUUGACGGUCAAAAGGUUAGAACGUGAUUAUAUUCGUUAAGGAUGUUGGCGUAAUGGCUUUAAACGACCCGUCUUGAAACACGGACCAAGGAG
rnacentral:rRNA from 1 species